UGUAGUCAUAUGCUUGUCUCAAAGAUUAAGCCAUGCACGUCUGAGAAUAAAGAGUUUUCUCUGAAUCUGCGAAUGGCUCAUUAUAUCAGUUAUAGUUUAUUUGAUAGUCCCUUACUACUUGGAUAACCGUAGUAAUUCUAGAGCUAAUACAUGCAUCAAACCCCAACUGCUUGUCGGAAGGGGUGUAUUUAUUAGAUAGAAACCAAUGCGGGGCAACCCGGUAUUGUGGUGAAUCAUGAUAACUUUGCGGAUCGCAGACCUCGUGUCGGCGACGAAUCAUUCAAGUUUCUGCCCUAUCAGCUUUGGAUGGUAGGGUAUUGGCCUACCAUGGCUCCAACGGGUAACGGGGAAUU
rnacentral:rRNA from 1 species